AGUCUCUAUCGAGGUUAAAGGUACCCGUACCGCAAACCGACACAGGUGGGUGAGGAGAGUAUCCUAAGGCCAGCGAGAGAACUGUUGUUAAGGAACUCGGCAAAAUGACCCCGUAACUUAGGGAUAAGGGGUGCCACCAUCAGGUGGCCGCAGAGAAUAGGCCCAAGCGACUGUUUACCAAAAACAUAGGUUUCUGCUAAGUCGCAAGACGAUGUAUAGGAGCUGACGCCUGCCCGGUGCUGGAA
rnacentral:rRNA from 1 species